GUUCCUCUUUCGGAGCAGAGGUUAUCUGAAAGAAAUUUCAUGGAGCCCUACUUGGACUUUGCAAGGACAUCUAAAUUCAACCUCCAUUUAAAAGGCCUAGAAAAAUUAAAUGCCUUCUCUGGUCCUGUUAACUUGCAAUGUUCAUUCAAAUGCAGUUCACAAUUUUCCAGCAUGCUUCUUAUGGUGAAAGAAACUCAUUUCAAAGGAAGAAAGAAAGGAAGAAGAAAUGUCUCUUUCAAGCAUUGCUGGAAGGAGUGGCUUAAUGUUCUAAAGAUAAUGGAAAUGUCUGAAUUUGCUGAGCCAAUGAUUUAAAUUGACUGGACCCUGGAUAUUAAAAAUACACCCUGAUUUUUUCCAUGAAUAAACUGUGUAUUCAGACUCUGCACUCUGCAUCCUUCAGCUUCCUAUGCUGUGAAUAGGAAAACAAGUUAGAGAAUGAAAAACUCAUCAUGCACUCAAUAGGGUUUUCUUAUGGUAGUGUUGGUAUUUGGAAGAUAGUAGCUUCCUUUGUAAAUAACUUUGAGAUAUGUUUUAAUAAAAUAUUACACAAUAAUAUA